rnacentral:rRNA from 1 species
CCUACGGGAGGCAGCAGUGGGGAAUAUUGGACAAUGGGGGCAACCCUGAUCCAGCCAUGCCGCGUGUGUGAAGAAGGCCCUCGGGUUGUAAAGCACUUUCAGUGAGGAAGAACGCCUGGUGGUUAAUACCCAUCAGGAAAGACAUCACUCACAGAAGAAGCACCGGCUAACUCCGUGCCAGCAGCCGCGGUAAUACGGAGGGUGCGAGCGUUAAUCGGAAUUACUGGGCGUAAAGCGCGCGUAGGUGGCUUGAUAAGCCGGUUGUGAAAGCCCCGGGCUCAACCUGGGAACGGCAUCCGGAACUGUCAAGCUAGAGUGCAGGAGAGGAAGGUAGAAUUCCCGGUGUAGCGGUGAAAUGCGUAGAGAUCGGGAGGAAUCCCAGUGGCGAAGGCGGCCUUCUGGACUGACACUGACACUGAGGUGCGAAAGCGUGGGUAGCAAACAGGAUUAGAUACCCGGGUAGUC